rnacentral:tRNA from 1 species
UCCUCUAUAACUCAGCUGGUUAGAGUGUCAGGCUGUUAACCUGAAAGUCGCAGGUUCGAUCCCUGCUGGAGGAG